GACAGAGGUGCCGAGCGUUAGGCGGAAUCACUGGGCUUAAAGCGUGUGUAGGCGGGGCGUUAAGUGCUUUGUGAAAUCCCACGGCUCACCCGUGGAACUGCUUGGCAUACUGGCGCUCUUGAGCCAUCUAGGGGCAACCGGAACAAACGGUGGAGCGGUGAAAUGCGCAGAUAUCAGGAGGAACACCGGUGGCGAAGGCGGGACUCUGGGCCGAUACUGACGCUGAGGAGCGAAAGCGUGGGGGAGCAAACAGG
rnacentral:rRNA from 1 species